rnacentral:lncRNA from 1 species
UCCAAACUUCGGGCUUGUGACAACGUGAAGAUAUAUGUCAACUUGUUGCACCUUUGCAAAUUCAAUUCUGUGAGAGUUUGGAGGCUGAUCACAUGUUGGGCGGGCGUCUUCCAUAUCCACUUCAGUUCUGGUAAUUCCUGCAUAAAUAACUCUGCUAAUCUUGAGAGCACCACAGGAUUCCCACUCUUUCCAUGUGGCAACUUAGAGGCGCCCAUUAUGCAUUCUAAAUCCUCACAUUGUUUGACAAAUAGACGAGUCAACUCAUUUAAGCCCCUUUCAUCUAUGCUUGGCACAAUAUUAUGACAACCUAUUAACCCCCUCAAACGAAGAAAUUUCAGAUUUUGAUACAAUGCUGAAAAAAUAACGAGCGAGGUCGCUUCAUGAGGGUAAUUCUCAAUGAUUAAGCUCCUUGUUUCAUCACCAUGUUCCAUGUCAUGAGCAGAUAAUUGACCAUUACUGAUGACGUACCUUUGCAUUUUCGGGAAUGUAAAGUCUUUUGGAAGACAUAUAACUUGGGAGUUCAACUCAGCAAGCCUAGCAUUACUUUCUUCUGAACUCAUCCCUUCAACCUCCCAAUUUUUUAUCCGACCAUAAAAUUCUUCCAAUUGAGGAAAUUUUUUUAUCCCAAUGGGAGAAACAGAACCGGUAUCAAUAUAUAGAAGUUUCAAUCUACGAAGUUCAUCCGACAAUUCUUCAAGAAUUUUAAUGGGAGACUUCUCGAGAAAAAGAAGUUCAAGCCUCUUCAACUUUCCAAGGAAAGACGCGUCACUCACCUCACAUCGAAUCAAUUGCAGAACCUGGAGGUUGGUGAGGAUCUGAAGCGAUUUAAGUGAAAGAACUCCACCUAUUAUAGUGACAACUUUCAAUGCUGGCAUCCCUUCAAAAAAAUGUUCUGGAACUUGCAAUCGGUGGUCGUAUUCAGGAUUCUCCAAUCGCAAAAUAUGAAGGUUAGGGCAUACCAAACCACUAGGAAGCUCUUCUUUUUUAUUUCCCACCAAAGAAAUUCCUCUGUAUUGUUCCAGGCCUUCUUUCAUUGCCCGUUCAGCCAAUCCAAUGCCAACUUUACUAAAAAAUUUCUUCUCCUCUAGAACUAUUGAGCCUAUCCAUAUGGCUACAUCACGAACUAUGUCAUGCAUUUUCACAGAUCUGUCAUUACCAUUGUCUAACAGCAGUGACGCAGCUUUGAGCGCGUUAAUCGUUCCAUACAGUCGGCUUCUGGCGUUUUCUAUUGACGGAUCACAUUGAUACCAAAUAACCCCCACUGCGUAUCCAACCAAAUCCUCCAAAUAAAUCUCAUAAUCUUCUGGAAACAGAGAACACAACAAGAAGCAUAACUUGGACUCCUCACUAUUUAAAUUGUCGUAACUGAAUUUGAGACAACCGUAAACGUCUUGGUCAUCCUUGUCAAUACCUUCUAUUGCAUAGAGUUUUGCUUCCCUUAGGUUAUAUAGUGCUAGAUUCCAAUCAUCAAAUCCUUUUUCUAUUAGUGCACUUCCAACAGCUUCAAUAGCUAAAGGCAGCCCCUUACAUUCGUCAGCAACUUGUUCUGGAACACGAUCCAAGGAGGAGUCGUUUACAUUAAUACCGGCAUUCAUUUUUAGGAGAGUCAAUCCUUCUUCUGGCGUUAGUGUACUAAGUUGAAUCUGUGUGUCACAACCCAAAGAAUCACAAACUGACUUUUUGCGAGUGGUUAGAAGGAUUUUGCAACAAUUAUCUCUACCACCGACGGUAAUACCUAAUUUUUUCUCCAAGUCGAGCUCUUUCCAGACAUCAUCGAUGAUUAUGAGGAUCUUGGUGCUUUUACUGUCAGAAAACAUCGAGCGCAAUCGGUCUGCUCCAUGUUUUUCAUCUUUCUGUUUUAAUUCCCAACCUAAUGAAUUUGCCAGCUCGUUUUGAACAUUUAUUAUGCUUGGAUCCUGAGAUACAGUGGCUAUCCCCACCAUAUCGAAAAUGUUUUUUUCCCGAAGUUGAUUGCCCACAAAUUUUGCCAGGGUUGUCUUUCCUACACCACCGAGACCAUGCAAUCCCACCAUCUUUGUGCUCUCUUUUUUCAGUGCGUCAAUGAUCUGAUUGCAAGCUGAUUCUGUGGUCUCGAAAAUAGAAGUAAAAUGACUUGGCAAACUUAAUUCUCUUUCUAAUGGUAGAGGUUUAGGAAAGGCAACUGUGUUGAAUUGGCUGCAGUCUUGUAGCAGAUCAGACAACUUGCUAGUCUUCUGUGAUGCUUUUCUACCCAGCCAAUAUCGGCAACACCAAUUAGGACACAAUCCAUGAAGACUACUAUCCUUUUCAUCUAUCUCUGCUUGCAACUUCCAAACAUCGUCCAAUUCUUCGACUCCAUUAUUCAGCCACUCCAUUACAUUUCCAUUGACUACUAUGUCGGGGCAUUUUCGUAGCUCAUCGUAUAUUCUUGUUUUGAUGCCAUCUCGUGCCUUCUUCAACUUAGUUUCUUUAUCCUUAAGUUCUUUAACAAUGCUGUUGAAACAGAACAUAUAGCGAGCUUGGUCAAUUGCUGCAUUCACCAAUAAUUCUUCAACCUUUGAUUUUAAAGCUUCCAUGCUAUUUAUCUGCAAAUAACGAAGUUGAUCUCAGCACGCUAUUAGCAAAACAACAAGGCUUGAUCACUAGACAAAAUGAGAACGUUUAAUUACCUUUUUCUGUACUGUGAAUGCACGUCUAUUAACACCAGCUUUGACCAAUAAGAGCAAAAUGCAGAGGCCGGGGGGGGGGGCUUAAGAGUUUCAGUGGCCUUUAGCUGCAAAACGGAAGAUGACAAAUAAGGUAAACGUUCCCAGCAAACGUGAUUUACGGUGAAUUAUAUUCAAAUUAGAUUAUUUUAAAAGUUGGUAAAUUAUUUAUCACUCUAUCUUAAUGAUACCUUAUUUGGGAUGGUAAAGAUUGGGGGUAAACUCCCUUUUAUUCUCACAUGUUUAUAGUAUUUAUAUUUUUAUAAAUUACCUAAAACAUCCACGUCACUACUUUUAUGGCUAUUGAACAUAUCAUUUCAAAUAUAAAAUACUAUUUCGGUCUAAUAUAAAUUAAAAAUCAAACAAAUCUAUUGUGCAAUAAAUGAAAAGUAAAGAAUAUUAAUUAGGUUUUAAUGGAAACAAAUAUAAAACAUAGAGGUUUUGAGUAACUUUUGUGAUUUUUUUUUUAAUGUUCAAUUUAGAAUUGAAUAAUUUGCAUAAUGAAAUUUUGAGGUUUCUAUAAUUUAUAUGAAGAUAAACUGAAAAAUAAGUUUAUAUGCCGAAAUUAAAAUAGUUAUAUAUUAGCAAUCAUAUAAUUAUCAAAAAAAUUAAUAAAAUUUAUUUAAAAAUUGGCCAAUUGUGUUUCAUGAGGAAAACAGAGAGCAUAAUGGACUUAUGUUGGGUCUUGGGAUUGAAGGACUAAGGGCAAGGGGCUGGGAGGUAGGACGGUAGGAAAAUUAAUUUUUUUUUUUUUUUAAAGUAUGGUCAACAUUAGUGACUUGGAGGUGAUUGCCGUUAAUCAAUUACCUUUAACUUAAGAAUUAAUACAAAUAAAUGGCAAAAAUAAUUUAAUGAAAAUUAAUUUAAUAAAAAAUUGCACUAAAAACUUAGAACUCAAAUUCUCGAUCAUUUUAUCCGUACGUUUUAAUCCGACGCUCAGAAUUGGCAUAAAACAAACUAAUAUAGCCAUUGGAAGUAAAACAAACAUCAAAUCAAGAGCCUAUGAAACGAUAAUAUCUCGUACCUUCUUCCUUAUAGAUCCUCAAUUGCUGCUGAAAGCUGCAUAUGACAAUAUAAAUAAACAUGAGAUCAAAACAUCAUAGGAUAUAUCUAACCAAUUAACAUCAUAUAUAACUCCUUGUUCUCAGUCAAAUCUUUCAUUCUUAGAUUAAAAAAAAAAGAAAUAAUAACUGUUAAGUGAUAUAGGAAGCAAAAGUAACACACCGAAAUGAAAGCAGCAAGUUCACAAAUGACAGAUGCGGUGACUUCAAGAGCAUGAAAAAUGAUUAAACUUUGGUAGAAAGGUCUGAGCCGUGUUUCACAAGUUGCUAUUGACUUCGUGGCUUCGCUUUUAUUUAUUAUUAUUAUUAUUUUUUUAAAUUCUAUAUCAGUGAGAAUUGAAAUGUGGAAAGUGUAAUGAUACACAUGCCUUAUCAUCUAUCAUGAGGGGUGAUUUGGUAAAACCGAUUUAAAAUAAAAAAAAGUUUAAAAAAAUUGAAAAAAGAUGCUUUGUGUCUGACUGCCUGUAUUUGGGGUAUUUUUCGGGUUGUUGAGAGUCAGUUUAAUUAAAUAUAAGAUUUUCAUUUUUCUUAUUAUAUUUUUCUCUUUAGAAUGAAUUUAAAUCUCAUUCUUAUUAAAUCCAUUUUUUUAAAUGAAAGUAGAUUUCUCUCCACACAUUUGAGAUAUAUUUUAAAAUUAAUGUUCAGCAUAUCUCUAAAUUAUAUUAUAAAUAUUUUUAUUUAAAAUCUCAACAAAUUUCAUAACACACAGAGAGAAAUACAUAUAUAUGUUGUAAUGUUUUAAUGAUGGAUCUCUAAAGUUGUCAAGUUAAAAAAUAAAUAAAAAAAUAAAAAAUACACACUUCAACUUAUUAUAUGAUAAAAUAUAGUAUAUUAAAGUGAGUAUUUUUUGUGUGAAAUAAAAUUAAAGUGAGUACUAUUACCACCUCACAUCUUAUAAAUUCUAGAAAAUAAUCAAGGCUUGACAUACUUUUAUUUAUGCAAAAGCAUAAGAAAAUAAUUCAAAGUAAUAAUUAGUGUACUAUUCCUCAAAAUUCUAGAAUAGAUUUGUUAGUUCUCUUUAUCUAUAGAUUGGUCCAUGAUUGGCAUCGCAAUAGCUCAGAAUCGCCUCAACGAUUGUUCCACACGGUCCAAGUCUUCUUAGCAAUAGUUUUAGAGAAAGUGUUUAGUAGUUCCAAGUCUUCUUUUUUUAACACAAAUGUUGGCAUGAUAUUCUUAAUAUAUUUUUAAAAUCAAAAUAAGAUGCAUAGAGGACAAUAAUUUUAUUUGAUAAUUGAUUUUUUUGCAAAGAAAGUUUGAACAUGAGAGUGAUGAGAGAUGAGAAUAUUGAUGAUGGUGUGUACUUUAGAUGGAAAAAUAGAUUGGAAAUAUAUAUAGACAUAUUAAAAGAAAAAAAUUUGGUCUAUUUCAUAAGAGAAACAAAAAAUUAUAAACGCAGGUGUUAAAAUGUAUUCAGAAUUUAUAAAUUUUUAUAAAUAUGAUAAUCAUUAGACCCUUAUAAAAGUAUAGCAAAAAGUUUAAAAUUUUUUAAUAAAUGUCGAAGAGAUGGACGAAGAAACCAUCCACCAGUUCAGAAUUAAUAAUCAAAGAUAUGAGGAUUCGAUCGAAGAAAUGGUGAAAAAUAAAAGGUCACGGGAUUGGUUAGUGGGACCCUAACAUUAAUGGUAAAAAAUAAAAGGACACUGGGUUGCUAUCAAUUUUUACAGUGUAGGUUCAUAGCCGGGGAAGUAAUUGGGCACAAAUAUCUCGGAUGAGAAAUAUCCAUUUUAUCCCGCAACUUUAUGUUUAUGGCCUCUAAAAAUUUUCACCUCUUUCACUUCUGGAACCCGUGCUUUCUGGCACAUGCACAAUACUUGGUUGCUACUUAUAAAGCGUUUUUACAAUUGCAACGACAUGGUGCUCUUUGAUAAUUCAAAAAUCCAAUAUAAUUUAUAGAGAAUUACAGAAUUGUGGUACGUGAUAAUUUGCUGACGCAAUGAGGCGCCUAAAUUCUUAUACAUGGGAUUUAAGUUAAAUAUGUAUAAUUAUGUAAUUAGAAAAUACUAGUUGGGGGUAUUUGUGUCCAUGAAAAUUUACAGCUGGUUGUUGACAUUACACUGCGGGUGUGUAAGUGUAAUCAUGGAUCUGACCAUUCAAAUUAAAAAAUGGGGGUCCCACUAACUUACGGAGUUAGUAAUUAUUACAUAUGCAGAUAUUCUCCCAUACGAUAACCUUAUCAUAAAUUUAAAGGAUACGAGGACUUGAUUGAAGAAAUGAAUGAAUAUUUGAAUUAAAAAAAAUUUAUAAUAAAGACAAGUAUUAAUUUACUAUGAAUGUAACUUACAUAUGCUGUAAGUUAGCGGGACACUAUUGAAUCACAAGCAAAAAACAAUCUGUCUUCUUCUUGAUUCCGUAAUUUGGCUGUCAAAAUGUAAUCUAUAAAGAUUACGAUACCUCGAUUCAAAAAAAUAUUUUUUUUUCUUAUGAAAUAAAUGAAAACUGAACACCAUUCAAUUAACCGUUUAUUUCCCCUUAAAUUUUUAAUCUCAAUGAAACAUAGAUCUAAUGGGAACUACACAUAUAUAAAAAUACUAUAGAUUGAAGAAGUUGAAUUUUUCUUGUGUGUUAAGUAUUUUUGGUUAAUACGAAAGGAUUCUAGCAAGUUAAUACAAAAGUAUCAUAAAUUCACUGUAGUACAAGAUUUUUUUUUUUUUCCUUUGAUGUUAAGAGUUUUGGAGAUUAAAAAAAAAAGAUGAAAGAAGAAGAUGAGAGAAGAAAAAAUAUUAAGAAUAGUUUUGGCAUUUUGAUGCGUUUUAUAGAGUAAAAUUUAUAUUUUAUAGUAUAAAAUGGUACACCCAAAAUUUAAUGAUAAAAUUUUAGGAAAAAAUUGCACUCGUCAAAAAAAAAAAAGAGGCUCAGCUUAGCCCAAAAUUUUUUUAUUAAUCGUCUAGUCACAAAUGUAAUCUCUUUUUUAUGAGAUUCUUUGGCGUUUUAAUUUAGUCCAUUGUUAGCAAUCCUAAUAGCUUUUAUGUGCACCUAUUUUUAUGUGAAAUAUGUUUCAAGCUUGAAUAAAAUCUGCGGGACAACUGGUAAGUAAUAAAGCUCAUCAUUUUUUAUUUUGAAAAUAAAGGGAAUCACUUACACUUUAGCACGAUAUUAUUUUUGAUAAGUCAUUUUUUGGAUAGAUUAUUUUUUCUGACGGGUAAUUUUUAGGACCUCUCCUGAAAUUUGAUGUAUUAACACUUAGAUGAAAUGUAUCCAUAUAAUUACAUAUACCUCCCCUAUUGUUAAUAUAAAAAUAUGUAUAGCGUCAGAUAAAAGGGUAAAUAUGUAAAAAUAUAUUUAAAAUUAAAAAUAUUUACUUUUACCAAAUCAUUAAAAUUUUGACCCACUUGCCCGCUGUUGGCCCAACCUUGACCAGCCGGUCAUGGCUCCACCGGCGACUGGUGGUGGUGCUUUGCCACUGCCGGAGUCCUCUCCUCACACCUGCGACCAAUCCCAUUCACGGCAGCCUUUGAAUCAACUGCAUCAACCAACACACAUUAACACAAGUACACGGCUUUUUGAAGUCUCUUUUGUUUUGCGUUUUCCCUUCACUGAGAAAAUUUGUCAGCUAAUAUAAUAAGCUUUGUUGCCUUAGAUUUGAGAUUACAGAGUCCUGAGCAGAUGUUGUGGCUGUGAUGUGGGUUUUAUUGUAUUUGACUAAUAGGCAAAAUACCUUUUAUUGGCCUACAAGGACGGUGCCUUUUUCUUCUUGUUGGGGAACUUCGUGAAGAAUCCAGCUUGCUUUUUUCUUCCUUUUCUUUCUUCAUUUUAAUUCAUUUUUUAAUUUAUAAUAACUUUUUGAGAUUGAAUUAUCGGCUUCACAUGUAAACAAUGGCAUUUGGUAUGUCACAAGUGCAUAGUUAUUCUUAUUUUUUAAUUUAUUUUUUUCUGAUGUUUUUGUUGCUGGAAUUAAUUUCUCAAGGUUUUGGCAUCACUCCCCAUUGGAUUUGCUAUGUUCAUGGUACAAUUGGCCACAAUCCCAAUCACUCGCACUGGAAUUAACCCAGCAAGGAGUCUCGAAGCUGCUGUUAUUAACAAUAAGGACAAGGCUUGAGAUUGACCAAUGGCUCUUUUGGGUGGUGGUGCUUUGCCACUGCCGGAGUCCUCUCCUCACACCGGCGACCAACCCCAUUCAAAGCAGCCUUUGAAUCAACUGCGUCCACCAACACACGUUAAUCCAAGUAUGCUUUUGUCUCAUCAGAACCCCCACACCCCCGCUGCCCCUUUGGCAAUCGCCGACGCCACCCAAUAGCGGCUAACAUCACCCUUGAACCAUCCCGAUACCAUGCCGCAACCUCUAGCAUCCCAAAACCCAAACUGCACACAACUCUCAAAACCCUUGCUCGAGCUUGUCACGCCGCAUACCACUGCCGUAAUUUGUACCAACAGUGAUGGUUCCAUAUCGUCACUGUCCAUCCCCUCAACCAACCCCCCAUGCAACCCCGACCUCAAUAACAUCUCAACAACCACGAACGCACGAUUUCUUCAACCUGCACUUACGGCCACUUUUAAUGAAAUUCUCACUGCCAACGGAAUUCUCAAAGUUAUAUAUAAUAAUUUAUUAUUUCAGCAGCAAGGAUAGUUUAAUAAUUUUAAAUGUUUAUUAACGGUCAUCUUAAUUAGUAACUAACGGCAGGGGAGGUAUAUGUAAUUACAUAAAUACAUUCUAUCUAAGUAUUAAUAAACCAACCCUCACAGAAGGUCAUUAGAAAUUAUCCUUUUUCUGACAGGCUCUUAGAUUUGGGAAAAUAAAUUGUGUACUUUUAAUGAAGAAAAGUAAAAGAUCAAUAAAAUAUUUUGUUGUUUUCGACAAUUUUUGCGUUGUCAAGUGCGCCUGGUACCUUUUUUUUUUUUUUAACUUUUGAGUUGUUGUUUAAUUUGUAUUAUAAUUAAUUAUCAUGGACCCACGUGCCACUGUUUCCAUUUCAAGUUUCAUAAUUUAACAGUGGAAAUGGGUUCCACAGAUAAUUUAUUUUAUAAUUUUUUAAAAAAAUUAUCAAAAUGUAAUAAAUAAGGUAAUAAUAAUUAAUAAAAAGUAGAUUUUAAGAUGGAAAAAUCUUUUUGUGUACUUAAUAAAAAGAUGAUAAGAUUGGGAUGCUUUUGGUUUACAUUCUCAUAGCUAUUUCUACUGAAAAAUUACAUCAAAAUUUAAUUAAUAAAUCAGUGAACUGCAGACUUAUUAAAUUUAAGCAAUUUUAAUAAGUCAUAAAUAUACUAAGUUAAAAUAGUAGUAAACCCAUCGUUACACAAUUCUCUCCAUUGAAUGUUCACCACUUUAAGAUAAUCAUAAAAUGACACUGGAUGUGCUAUUAUCUGUUUCAUUAAAAGCCUUCACAAAAUAAAAGGCCGGUGAACAAAGUUGGUCAUAGAAAAAAGGAGCAUAGAGCACAUACAUCCAGUUUUUAUAUCCUCUGAUACUGAGUCGUCACAUGCUAAUGCUAUAGACUAUAUGAUAAUCUACUAAGGUGACGCAUGCCAAUGCUAUAGACUAGCUUUUCAAAGGUUGAAGUGGGUAUACUUUUAGUAAAAAGACCUGCAAAAUUAUAAUGUAUCUAUUUGACAUCAACUUUUUUUAUCUGCUGGAGCUUAUGAUUAUAGAAGAUCUUCGGUAAGAUGUGUUUGAUUUUAUCUUCUUUUAUAUAUCCUCCUCUAACUUGUGUAAUAGUAGUAAACCCCUGCCCGUUUUUAUUUCGUUUAGUAUUUUCUAAAUGGCCGAAGGAAAAUUGGUAAAAACUCAUUUAAAAAUAAAAAAAAAUCAAAGAAAUUCAAGAAGAAGCUUUCUAUCUGCCAUUUGUAUUUGGGGUAUUUUUUUGGUUGUUAAGUGAAUGAGCUUAAAUCUAAAACAUUUAUUUAUAUAUUUCUUGUUGGAAAGAAUUUAAAUUUUAUUCUUAUUAGACUUAUUCUCUUUAAACAAAGGUAGAUUUUUCUCUAUGUGUUUAACGUGUAUUUUAAAAUUAAUGUUCAACAUAUCUUUAGAUUCUAUUAUAAAUAUUCAUAUCUAAAAUCUCAACAGAUUUCAUAAUAUAUAAAGAGAGAGAAUAACGUUUCUAAUAAAAAAUUUAUUAAGUUAAAGAAUAAUUCAAAAGAUAAAAUAACACACUCCAAUAUAUUAUAUAAUAAAAUAUAUUGUAUUAAAAUAUAUAUUUUGUUUACUUUUUUUAAUAUAUCUCCUAAUAACUUAAGAAAUCAUUUAUUUAACUAUAUAUAUAUAGAGAGAGAGAGAGAAAAAUGUUCACGAGAAACCUUUAAAACUGCAUGGUUUUAAAUGUUUAAAAUGUAAGAACCGAUGAACAAUUUUUGACAAAGACGUUGCGACCUAAGUAGGGAUAGCAACUAAAUUCGGAUCCAACUCGGAUAUGUAAGGAUCCGAAAGAUCCAGAUCCAGAAAAUUUUUUAUCUGAAUAUUAAAAAAUGUUGAUCCGGAUAUAGAAAUUUGGGAUCUGCACGUAUUGGGAUGGAAGUACAUUCGGAAAAUUGGAUAACGAGAUCUAGAUAACUUUUGUUUCAAAUUAAAAAUAUAUAUUAAAAAUUAAAUGAAAAAUUAAAAAAGUAAAUUUCAUUUGUGGAUUUAUGAUGUUGUUGUAUAUUAUUCAUGUUGAAUUAUUAAUUGCUGGAUAUGAUUGAAUUUUUUUUGAAAUUAUUGGGUAAAUUUUUGAAUUUUAUUUUAAAUUAAAAAUAUUUAUUAAAAAUUAAAUAAAAAUAAAACAUUAAAUUUUAUUUGUAAAUUUAUGAGAUUAUUGUAUGUUAUUCAUUUUGAAUUAUUAAUUGUUGAAUUAUGAUUAAAUUUUAUUUGAUAUUAGUAGGUAAAUUAUUAAACUUUCAAAUUAUAUAUUAAAUUAUUUAAUUAUAAUUUUUACGGAUCCGAAUAUCUAGAAUAUCUGUUCGCAUCCGGAUCUACAUAUUUUUUUACGAAUCCAGAUAUAAAAAUAUGAAUGUGGAUCCAAAUUCGGAUUUUGCCAACCCUAAACCUAAGCAUGAAUGUGCCUAAAGUUUUUACUAAGAACAUGGAUCAUUCAAUGACACGACAUGUUUUGCAGCUCUCAUUAGUAUAAUUGAAUAAUUAAUUCAUCUCUAUAUUCAGCUUACACCGUCUCAAAUUGCAUGCAAAUACGAAAGUACACUUUUGAAUCGUUCACUUGAGGAAAAUUAGAUUCUCCACGUAGAAUUUAGAUUCAAAGCAUAGCAAAUUAGACAUAAUUCUAAUUUAUAUGGGAAAUAUAAUUAGCGAAGACACUCUUUAUAUAAACAUUAUUGUCAUAGGAUGCCAAACCUAAUAAGAUUCAAGAUCUUAACAUACUUCAUAUGAAAUUUGAUCUUGACGCGUACCGACACGCAUAACAUCAAGACUCUACUUCAUAUAAUGUAACUUCAUGGAUUUUUCGCUCUCUUGUGAAAUUGACAAUUAUGGGCGCUGUGUGGCAGUGGUACAUAAUAAAAUAAACAUUUAUUUUUAGAAUAUUAUUAUUUAUCUCAAUUUUUUAUUUAAUAGUUAAUUUUAAUCAAUUCUUAAACUGUCAUAAUCAAUUAAUUUUUUACAUUAUGGUAUCUUAAAUAAAUUUUGGAUCUGUAAUAAAUAAAAACUGGUAACGUUUGUUCUUUUAAAACAUAAAACAACCGUAACAUUGGUUUUUACAUUUUGAAUUUUUCUUGCAUCACUAUUUAGAAAAAUGAUGUUAAAUCAACUCACAAAAUAUAUCAAGUCAUCUAAAAUCCAAAUAUUAUUACAUUUGUAUUUGUAUUGUUAAAUUGUUGGAACGACGGCAAAGCAAUUGAAAAGAGAUUAACAAAAAAGUAAAGAUUGGCCAAGGAUUAUUCAUGUUUAGGAAAUGCCUUAACUUUUGAUAUAAUCAUUGUUAUAAUUAUAUUGUAGAAAUAAUCAAUUACCUGUGUUUAUGUUGGUCUCCUUUUUUUCCAUUUCUGUACAACGAAAUAUUUGCAUGUUUUGAUAGAAAUUGGUUUAAAUGACAUUUAAAAUUGUAUAUCCCCAGACAAUUAACGAAAUAUUUGGAUGGUAGGAUGAAGUAAUAAAUAGUUUUACAAAUUACCAUAUUAGAGGUAAAAAAAAAUAAAAUCGAGAGGUUACUUGACAAUUAUGACGUUACUAACUACAAAUUUAACACAAAAAGUUUAAUUAACUUUUCUUUUUGAGAUGACAAAAUCUCUGGUGUUGAAAACAAUGAGGUUUGAGGUUCAAGCUUGAAUAUUAAGUUACAAUUAGUAGAUGGUCUUAGGACAUAUCAAAGAUUUCUUUAAAGACAAAAUAAUUAUUAUAAGCAAUAGGAAAUUAUGGUAUUCAGAACAUGUAACCUUCGCACAUGAAGCUUGAAUCCAGAACAAGAUGCAGCUAGCCAAUCCUUCCAACUUCCAAAAACCCACAAAAUCUCUGUCAACAUGUCUGUUCUACUUCAAUAAUAAGCACAUUCAUAGCGGUAUCAACAGCUUACAGCGCCAAAAUAUUUUCCCCAAAAAGAGUGAGAGAUUUCACUGAAGCUAAGUUGUGACUUGUGACUGCCCAAAUGUUCUAUAACACGAUAUGAUUAUUCUAGUAACAUCAACAUUUGCAUCCUUCUGUAUCUGUCUGAGCUCCUGAAGCAUGAUACCCGGUUGCCCAGCAAAAGAUGCAGCUAUCACAAUGAAUAAGGGAACAAAAUAGAUAACAAAGUCACAAAAACAAAGCUAAUCACAAUGAAUGAUAAGGUUUAGAGUAAACAUAAAGUUAUAAUCUUGAACAUAAGUGGCGCUCUUGAGGAAAAAAAAAAUUCAUUCUAACACAACAGAAUAAAUUGUAAAGAAAUCCCAGUUUGUAUAAAAGAAAGAAAACAAAAUUAAGGAAAACAUAAGCACAACAAAAUUUGACUGAUUAUUAAAAAUGAGAAAUGAGUUAUAAUGAGAAUUUUGGCUUUGUGGUGAAAUAAAUUGGGAAGUAUCCAAAGUUCGCAUGUAAAUAAUAUAAAUGAUAAGAAGACGAAGGGAACAAAAUGAUAAUAAGCAAGCCAAAUAUUAAAAUGCAGAUUCUACGCUUCCGCCCCCCCAUACUUCAAGUUAGUGUCUCGCUAAUCAUUUUAGAUGUAUCAAUUACAAAGGGAGGCCAUCUAUUUAUGGUAAGCGUACGCCUCUAAUGCUUUGCCAAGUGUCCAUUGAUAAUAUCACAAGGGCAAUUAAAUUGGUGUAUGUGUAUUACACCUCCUAAAGUCAUGUUAAGAUAGUUAGUGAGCUGAUAAAGUUUGUUGCACGUGUGAGUUGGUUAAGUCUGCUAGAAAUGCAAACGUGUAAAGCUGAGUCAGCAAGUUAGUUAACGUUAUUAUGAAUGCUUAGAUUCAGCCCACGUGUAUUGUAUGUAAUACUUAGAUUCAGGUCACGUAGAUUGUGUAUACAACUUUCUAAUAUGAGUAAUGAUACAGCCACAAACUCUUGUACAAACUUAUUUUAUACAAACUGACGUGAUAUUUAAUUCAAACUGAUGUGGGCCAAGUGAUAUUUAAUUCAACCAAUCUUAUCAUGCCACAUCAGUUUGUACAAAAUAAAUUUGUACAAGAGUUUGUGGCUGUAUCAUUACUCUUCUAAUAUUAUUUAGAUCUCAAUAUAAAUACUUGUAAUCAACAAAUACAAUAAUAAGAGUCAUCAUUCUUCAUUUUCUCUCUGUUUCUCUCAUAUUUUCUCUGCAUCCAAACACAAUAUUCUCAGUUCUUGACUGGUAUUAGAGUCGCAGUUUAAUUGUCCUGGCUUCGUUAAGCACAAAUUCAAACACAAAUCAGUCUCCUUCAUUCUUUACCCUCACAAAUGCGAUCAAAUUGGACAGAUCUUACUAUACGAUCUGGAAAUCUCAGAUCCUCUCUUCAGUGUGUGCCAAUGGACUUGAAGGCUUUCUUAAUGGAACUAAAAUUUGUCCAGAUCAGUUACUUACUCAAGAGAUUGAAAGUUAUGGUGUUGAAAAUGUUGUUGGUGAAAGCUCAGCUGAUAGAUCUCAGGAGAAUCCAGCCUUUGUUGCUUGGAAGAGGUAGGAUCAAUUGUUAUUAAGUUGGCUCAUGUCCUCCAUCAGUGUUGAGAUACUUAAGUCUUGUGGUAAAUUCUGAUUCUUCUCAUAAACUUUGGACUAAUCUUGAAGAAAAUUUUUGGAUUAGAAAAUAUGGCUAAGAAAGCACACUUAAAAAAUGAUGUUAAGCAAUCUCAAAAAGGGAUCAAUGACAAUAACUGAGUAUUUUGCCAAACUUAGAGCUGUAACUAAUAAACUUGCUCUAACUGGUAGACCUGUUUCUACUCUAGACUUUAUUACUCAUCUAAUCUCUAGAUUAGGCCAGCCAUACUACCCUGUUGUUGUGUAUAUUGAAGCUAAUAUGUUGAAAAUAUUUGUCAAUGAAGCCUAUUCUAUGCUUUUAACUCAUGAAGCAAGAAUUAAAUUUAAUCAUCCGAGUGCAAAUAAAGAAGCAAAGUUGAAUUAUGCUGCUAACAUAGCUUUGGCUGGACCUAGUAAUAACAAUAAGAAGUCUAGUAAUCAAGCUAAUUACUAUCAGGGCAACCAAGGUAACUGGAAUAGAAAUGCUAAUUGGUGUGGUAACAAUGGAGGAAGAGGUGGCUUUGGCAGAGGUUUUUCAGGGCAAGGAAGGAGUAAUUAGAAUAAUGGUGGUCAUUGGAACAACGAACCUUGGAGUAGUAGUCGAGCAGGUUAUAAUUGUUCUGAUAUAAACAUUAUGACAUGGUUGUUGGUGAACCUGUAAACAUAACCACAAAAGUAAGAAGGCAUAAUCUUUUUAUAAGAAACUCAAAAAUGUAUUAAUGAUGAAAAUUUUAAAACAGAUAGCUGACCAGCUGUUCACUAAGAAAACAAAAAACUGAAUAUUUGUGCUAUAAAAAGGCACACCCAAUCUCACCCCUAUAAAAGGCUAGAAUCAGCUACAAAUCCCUAUCUCAAAACCCCAUCCCAGUUUAGAUGAAUGAAGAAAAAAGAUGAAUCUUGAAACUCCUUAGAAACUGAAGCCCAAAGUGAAGCAAGAAGAUGAACUCUAUCCCAAGCAAGCAAUAUGGCAUAUUUCUCCAUUAAUGGUUCAAAUAAAGUGAAUGGCUUUCUCUGAUGAAUGGGAAAUUGUCAAGAUCAAUAGUCAAACUCACGCAAAGUAAACGGACUUAAUUCUCAGAGGCUACUCAUUCUAAGUCUUAAAGAAAAAUUUUCUAAUUUCUAAAGAUUAUAUGGGGAAAAAUCAUUAUUUUCUAACAUGGAAAAUUUGAUACGCUGUUUAAUGUCUGAUCACAAUCAUAAUAUGAGUACUAACAAAAACAUCUUUAAUCGGCAUGGUGCGAGUAAAACACCAUCACUUCAUCUUUGAUGGAAAGAUGAUAACAUAAAGAGAUGGUGAAAUGGUUUUGGUCCUUGGCAGCUUGUAAUCAAAAGAAAACAAAAAUCUACACUAUUAUUAAUGAUUACCGAAGCUACAGAAGUAUCAAAAUCGGAAAGUAAACAAUUGCAAAACACAUCAAUGACUGAAGGUUAGGUUCUAAAACUUCCGUAUUUAAUUUUCAAAGCAUGUUAUGUAUUAUUCAGAAAUAUGCUUUCACUUCAGGCACUUGACCAAGACGCAUUAAACAAAAAACGUGGCGUUUUCAUGGACUAGUACAUUCCAUGCUUCGAAAGUUUAUGUUUUAGACUGAUUCGUUUGAUACAUUAUUUGUUUAUUGCGUUUUUCUUGCUUUAAAUAUUAUGUUGGAUUGAUAAGUUUUGUACACAUUUAUAUUGCUCGCAGUAAAUAAUUUAUGACAUUUAAAAAACUAGCAACCGUCUAUCAAAAGAUUUCUACUAUAAAUAUAUAUACACAAAAAACUUUUAAUUUGGUCAAUUUGUUCUCUUAUUUAUUUUUGUUCUAUUUCUCUUUUCCUUUCCUUUCAUUUUAUUGUUUUAUGGUACAAAAUAAAAAAAUAACCUUAAAAUUUAGGGCAAAGCUAUGGUACCACAAUUGUAUGGUACCACAGCUGGAUCCAACCAUUGGAUCUAUCCCACAGUUGUCACCAGAAUUAGAUCCAAAGGCUGGAUCCAGCUGUGGUACCAUACAACUGUGGCACCAUAGUUAGACCCUAAAAUUUAAGGGUAAAAUACUCAUUUUACUAAAAUUCCGUUUAAUAUUAUAAAGCUGUCAAAUGUCAAUGGCAUAGUACACGAGUGAUACAAAUUAAAAACAAUAAAUGGCACCCCGGCUUUCGCAGCGUACUCAAGUGCAGCCACCACUCCAGAAUCUGGUACUGCAAUCACGACAUCACUCAACAGGAGCCUCGGUAGCAAGUACUUCCCCAAAAUGAUACCUCGACUCACAAACAUGUUGAAAAGUCAUGCACAUGACAUUCAAAUUCAAAAAUGCAUGCAAAAUUUCAAAUGGCUACCAAACAUUUGAAGAAAAAAAUGAAAAGUUGGCAAAUUUGUCAAAUUUGAGAAAUGGACACCAUUGACUAUUGGCUUAGGUUAGGUGGAAUAGUAAAGGGGUUGGUGCAAUAGUGCUAUUAUUUUUCCUAUAAAUAGAUGGCACUUAUUCCAUUCUUAAGCAUCCCAAAAUUGUUAAGCUUAUAAGUUUCUAAGAUUUUAAGAGAAGUGAGAGAAGUGUGUCUGUGGAAUUUAUCUUUCCUGCAGAGUGUGAGAGUACUGGGUAUAUUUAGGUUUUUGGGAAGUGAGAUUCGUUACUCAAAUAUUGUACUCUAUUAAUUGUUAAAUAAACAAUUAUUCUUUCUUACCUCCGUGGAUGUAGGUUUAAUUACCAAACUACGUAAUUCUUGUGUCCUUUAUUUUUUUGUAAUUAUUUGGUGCGCUUGAUUCCGCAUUCCGCGCACAACAAGUGGUAUCAGAGCCGACGGUUCGUACUUGGGGAGAUACGGUACUGUUCACGUAUACGGUAUUAUUCCCGUAUACAGUACUAUUCACGAAUACGGCGGAGACGGCCAUUUGUACUUGGGAGACAGUCUAUUAUAAGUAGUGUGUAUUUUUGCAUGUCUAGGAAAGUUUUGUCAACAAAGGCGAUAAGAGUCUAAGGAUUCUGGUUUUUAAUUGGGACCGAGUUCCCGUCCAGUCUCCUGAAAACUUUCCUGGUGCAUUUAUUCACGUGAAAUUAACAUUAUAGAGACUGUUUUUCAAGUGGAAAUAGUUCGUUGAGAAAAUGGUAGAAGGUGAAACUUCCAGAAUUGGGGAGAGAUCUACCGAGACUAUUUCAGGAGACACUUCAGGUGGGAGGCGAGAUUUGUCAAAUCGCUAUUCAGCACCUGUUAUAGGAGGCUAGAAGACCGAUGUUGAAAAGUUUGAUAGGAAAAUCAACUUCGGCAUGUGGAGGCGCGAAGUUAUGGAUGCCCUUAUUCAAAUUGAUCUCGGUGUUGUGUUGUUGAGAAAGAUCGAUACCAAAGAUAAUCCAUCAGAUAUAUUGAUGAAGGUAGUUUCUGGAGUUAAGUUUCAACAUUACUUGAAAUUAAUUCAAAUCCUUCAAUUGUAUUAAGAUAUGUCCUUCGGGAAUUAUGAACUACGGUUGGCUUGAUCCCAAAUUUUGGGUACGUAGGCAGUCGAAUCGACACAGCCAUUCUGGAUCCUUAUUGAAGGAUCACUUUGGGGAUGAGGGUUCAUUGGUAGUUGGCUCAGAUUUGGACAAAUUUUCGUCGAGGUGGAGAAUUGUUGAAAAGUCAUGCACGUGACUUUCAAAUUCAAAAAUGCAUGCAAAAUUUCAAAUUGCUACCAAACAUUUGAAGAAAAAAUGGAAAGUUGGCAAAUUUGUCAAAUUUGCCAAAUGGACACCAUUGACUAUUGGCUUAGGUUAGGUGGAAUAGUAAAGGGGUUGGUGCAAUAGUGCCAUUAUUUUCCCUAUAAAUAGAUGGCACUUCUUCCAUUCUUAAGCAUCCCAAAAUUGUUAAGCUUAUAAGUUUCUAAACUUUUAAGAGAAGUGAGAGAAGUGUGUCUGUGGAAUUUAUCUUUUCUGCAGAGUGUGAGAGUACUGGGUAUAUUUGGGUUUCUGAGAAGUGAGAUUCGUUACUCAAAUAUUGUACUCUAUUAAUUGUUAAAUAAACAAUUAUUCUUUUUUACCUCCGUGGAUGUAGGUUUAAUUACCGAACCACGUAAUUCUUGUGUCCUUUAUUUUUCUGUAAUUAUUUAGUGCGCUUGAUUCCGCAUUCCGCGCACAACAAAACAAACCUUCCAAAAACAACAGAAUUAGGCAAAGCAAAAUAAAUAUGCUCAAAGAUGCACUGCUUAGGUUCAGGGUGAGGCAUCAAACAAGGUGAUUGAACCCCAUCUUUAUCCACCAUCAAAACUUCACCGGGAUAUACCUCUCUCUCUCUCGCUCUCGUAUGUGGCCUCAAUCAAAUAGUGCACAAGUCUCUGACGCAAAAACCAGAGCACCAUUACUCCUACCCAUCACCAAUGGCAUAAACCCAUACGGGUCACGAACCGCAACAAGCUUAUCCUCAGUAACAAACACCAUUGAAUAAGCACCCUCAAGCUUCUCACAAACAUCCAUAAUCCUCAAAAAGAACGGCCUAGCUUUCGAUAUCGGAAUCAAAUGGAGAACAACCACAGUAUCAGAACUAGUAUUGAAAAUGGAUCCAUUAUCUUCGAGCUUAGCCCUCAAAGUAUUAUAAUUAACUAAUGUGCAACACCAACAGAACCAAACCUGUACCCAGCAACAAAAGGCUGCACAUUCUUAAGCAUAGAACUACCCGCAGUCGAAUAUCUAACGUGACCAAUGGCCAUAUCACCCGGCAUUUGAUCAAGUUUAGACUGAUUAAACACAUCAGACACUAAACCAACACCAGUAAUAGACUGAAGAACUUUGUUAUUCACAGCAACUAUACCUGCACCUUCUUGGCCGCGAUGCUGCAUCGCGUGUAGCGCCAAAUAGCACAAACGCGAGGCCUCUGGGUCACCAUAGAUGCCCACAACACCACACUCCUCACGGGGCUUAUCGUCGUCAUCAUCAUCAAAACUGCCAAAACCGUCAUCUGGGUAUUCUUUAUUUGUGGUGAAAAACUCAGAGAUGGGGUUUUUUUGAUAGAACAGUGAAGUUAUUUUUGUGGGUUAAAGAUUGUUGUUUCUGAGGAAAAAAGGGGUUUUUUGCGGGGUUUUGGAGAAAAGAGAAAGAUGGGUUUUUUGCGACGGCUUAGGGUUAGCAGAGGGAGAUGGGUUUGAGAGAAGGCAGAUGUUGGCGGUGCCUGUUGUGGUGGCUGCCAUUAAUGGCUGAAUUUAUUUUAUUUUAUUUGUUUUGGGUUGCCUUGCUCAAAGAAAAAACAUAGGAGGUGUGUGGAGGGAGACAGUGGCGAAGGGUACUUUAAGUAGAGGGGAACUUGUUCUAGGUUUUUUUCUGGAAUUGUGAGGGAAUCUGAUCCUGGGUUUGUGCAUAUGAUUCAAUUACUUAUAGGUGAUACUGUUGUGUCACCACAAAUUCUAAUUGGGAAGCUUCAGUUGUCAAAUUUUUUUCCAAGGGUUAAUUAGGUAGAACUUUCAUGUCGUCGAUUUUAUUUGGAGAUUCUAAAAGUAGUUUCCAAAAUCAACAAUGUGACACAGAUGCUUUAGAUUUUUUCCCUUGUGGGACAUGAAAAUUGAUGCAUGUUCCAACGCAUUGCUCUAUCAGAAUUGGAAUUAAACUUAGGUGCCGUUUGUUUUUUUGUCUGAAAUCUGAAUAGACUUGAAUUAGUCUGAAUUCUGAAUAGGUCUAAAUGUCUGAAUCCGAAUAAUAUGUUUGUUUUUUCGUCUGAAUCUCGAAAAAUAAGUAUUAAGUUGUUUUUUUUUUUUCAACUUAAAAAGCUGAAAAUAUGUACUUUUACAUUUGUAUCCUUAUUAAAUUUGAAUGUCAAAUAAAUAAUAUAUUAAAUACCACAAUAUUUUAAUAUUUAUAAAUAAAACUAUAUUCAAGUGAAUACAUAAUUAUUUUAGAAUUUUAAUAUAUAAAAUACCAUAAAUUUCAAAUUUUAUCGUAUAUAAUAUAAGAAAGAAAAAACAUGGAUAUUUUUAUAUGGGGUAAAUAUCUAUAGGUAAGUUUUGGGAUAAACAUGAAAAAUAAAUUAUAAAACAGAGAUAUUUUUGACAUUAGCAAGUAAUUGACUUAAUUCAGAUUUCUCCAUUAAGUAAAAAGCCAAAAAAAUUAGCUUAUUUUAUUAAGUCAAAAUUAUCUAAAAAGUCUCAUUAAGUUAUAAAAACAAACACCUCUAAUUAACUUAAUUAAUUAAAUUAAGUCACUGUAAGUCAUUAAGUUAAACAACAAACGCCACCUUAGUUUGUAUUCUCCUAUUCCGAAAGCAAAACUUAUAAGUGAUAUUCUAAGAAGAAGAAAUUAAGAACCAUAACAAAUUUGAUGAUUCUAAUUUGCUAGAAAUAUUGCAAUCCCAAACUAAGAAAGUUCAAACCAAUUAUUUGAAGAAAAAAGUAGGACGGAAGCUCCCAAAAUAUUGUUAUGUGUUGUAUGUUUUAGUUUGUGUUUCCCAAUCAAUAAGGAAAAGUAAGUACACAUGUAACAAAAAUUUAAUAAAAAAGAUUGGAGGUGACAAAACCGUCAAUCUUCUAAUUAACUUUCUCUCCUUUCGAAUUUCCUCGAGUUUGGUAGAGACUGCUUAAGUGGUAUAUCUAUUAUAAACACCUGAAGUCAAAGUUAAUAUUUUAAUUGUUAAGAAAAGUUAGAAAAAGAAAUUUUUGUAUAAGAGAAUUGAGUUUAAAUUUAGAAUUCCUUGGGAGGAAAUGAGUCUAAAUUCCAAUAAUAUAAUUAAACACUAUUUAUAUAUAUCAUUAGUUGGGUGAAAAUUUAAUUUCCAUCCUUUGAUGUGAAAAACUCUCUUGAUCAUCUAUUUUCAUAUGAUGGUAAUUUUUUGUUUAAAGUGAAGUUAUUGGCACCCUUUCAUUAUGCUUAUAAAAUCCUACUUCAAAUAAAAUUACACUUAAAGACAAUAGAAUUAAAUAAUAUAAUUUUUUCUUUAAAACAAAUUACUCAUCUAAUUUUUUAUAGGUUGCUUUGUAUCAAAUUAAAAAAAUUUUUUACAAAUUUAAAAUAAUCUAUUUUUUUUUCAAAUUUCUUAUUGAUUAAAUAUUUGUGUGCUUAAGAUAGCUUUAAAAUUAUAAGAUAAAAUAUAUAUAAUUUAAGCCAAUGAUUAACAUUAAAAAAUUUAUCUCUCAUAAAAGUUUUUAAUUUGUGCGUAGGGUAAUAAUAAAAUUGCAAAAGAAAUGAAAAAUAGCAAAACACUAUUUUGAGUUUAAACAAUAAAAAAAUUAAAUGAAAAAUUAGAAAUGUAUUUGAAAAAGGAUAUUUUUUGAAAAUAAAAUAAAUAUAAUUUAAAAAGAAAGAGUUUCACGAGGGGUGCAAUAGUUCAACUCUUUUGUUUAUAAGUUUUAAUGUGUUGGUAUCCUUAGCUUAGCUUUUCCCUAAUUAUUAUAUUAAAAUGUAACAACAAUGAUGAUCAACCCUAAUUUCAUGGAGGUCAAAGAUUUUGGUCAUGCCGCAUUAAUUAGUUCGGUCAUACUUUCUACAAAUUUAUUUACAUUUAAUAAUUUGCCCAAGACUAGGUAAGGCGCCGCCUGGAGUCAUAGAAUUUUAUAUGUCAAAAGUGCGUUUCACUUCAAUUAAGCUAUAAAUGUCGUUUAAUAUGCUCAUUUUGUAUUUUUUUUUAAAAAGUUUUAUUAAUUUUUAAAAAAAUAUUAUUUAUUUAUUUAUUUAUUUUUUUAAAGGUAAAGAAGUGGAUAAAGUUCAAAUUUAAUUUUUAUCCCUUACGUCAUGACCCUUAAGAUUUGAACUUAGGUAACCAAACGUAUAAUAAUAAUAUCUCAAAUUUCAUUUCAAAUGAUAUGCAAUAUAUUAAGUGAUUGUUAAUUUUUAUAAGAUCCGAGUGAAUGAAUUGUAUUAUCUCACUAAUUAAUUAAUGAGUGUCAUAUCAUUUAUGAUAACUUUUGUAUAAAAAAAAUUGCAUGGAUGAAAUAUCCUUUUGAGAAUUUAAUGGUUUAUCUCAUUUAUGAUUUAUUGUUGCAUUUAAUGAUAUUGCAAAUAAUUUUCUGAUAAUAUUAUUGUUUUGACGAGUAAGUUUGGAGUAAAUAAUACAUAUGGCAAGUGUGAGGUUUGUUAUUGCAUUUAUUUUGUGGAUCUAUUUAAAAGCCAAAAAAAGGCAUUUCGAUUCAUUAUGAUUCCAGAUAAUUUCAAGCCAUGUCAUUAUUGGGAUAAAAAUAAAGUAAAAUGGUUAAAACUAUUUUUAUGUAAUUUAUAAAAAUUAAUGAAGCAACUACAAAAUUUUUUUAAACGAAAAACAAUUGAAAUGUGUGUGGAAAAAGAAGAAAAAAAAUAAGGCAUUUAAAUAUCUUCUUAAAAAAUACGAUUGAUUAAAAUUAUUUUAACAGAAUGCUCUUCCAAAUACAAUUCCACAUUUUUUUUUAUUGCAGUGGGAUAUUCCAAAAUUGGCACAACUCAUUAAGAAUUCGACAACUCAAAUUUUAUUUAUCACUCUAUGCAUUUGACAAAUUAAAAAGAAAAAAAAUUCAUAUAUCUUCUGUUCAAAAGAAACCUUGGUAAAUAUUGUAAAACAAAUUACCAAUUUUUUUAAAUUUAUGCCAUUAAAUCGUCGCUAUUUUCUCGCCCACUUUCUUAAAAUAGAAUCGAUAUUUAUUGAUGGGUUGGGUUCGAGAGUAAGCACCAAUUCAGCAAAAUGGUUUUAUAGCAGAAAAAGCACUUGUAAGACAUUCAGAACACAUUUUUCAAUUUUGUCUUUUGAAAAUGAGUCUUGAGUUUCCGCAAGCCAAGAAGAAUGGCUAAAAAAUGUAUGGUAUCAAAAGAAAGAGAAACACACACACACAUUUUAUGUAAGAUACCGUAAAAGCCAAAUACAACCUUUUUGAUUCUCAGCAAUAACUUUUUUUUUUCCUUUUAAAAAAAGGAAGCCAUAUAAAUAAUGCUUUAAACAUUAUUUGCAACAAGGAACAAUUAUUUCAUGCUUUCAGGUAUUAGAAACUUUCCAAAACUGCUAGCAAGAAAGUGAAAUGUAACUUUACGUAGUCACAAAAUAUGUAUUGCUGUUAGCCCAAUUGUUAUGAAGUGGCUUCUGCAUCAGAAGAUUCCAGCUCCCACCAAGCAUUGUUAUCUCUCUUCUGAAUACAAUCUGCAUCGCUGGGCAUGAGUUAUAUCAUUAAUGUCUGCAUCCUCACUUACAUCAUCCCAAUCAAGUGCUUUUUCUCCAUAUCUGGAUUAUAAGUCCACUCCAAUCUCUUCAAAACAUCCUAGUCCUUCCAUCACAACUGCUACAACUUCCUUCCUAAUUACUUACCCAUUAAUAAAUCGCUCCAAGAAAAAAAAGCUUAGCAAUUCUCUUCAACGCCCCAUCACUCAUAUCCCCUACAACAACCAUCUUCAGACAAAAUCCGAAUCAUCCGACACAACCACCAAACACCCAAACCUUCUUUUGUCCACCAUAUAAAUCCUCAACAAAACAUCGGCAUCUUGUGGCUUAUCUAACACCAUUCUGACCCAAAAUCAUGCUUUUUUUAACUCAUCUGCAAAACCAUAACCCACUUUUGGAGUCAAAAUUGCGCUUGCAGCCAUUUUAUAUUUUUCCAUCUUUAUUGAAUAGCUGCCAACCAAAAGCACUCUCACCUUCCCUCUAGCUGAUCCUAUUUGAUUCGACCUUUUCUUUUGUUCACCCUCAUGAAUUUGCUUAAAAUGAUUAAAAAGCUUGUCAUUGUUAUAAAAUCUCCUUCCACAAUCACCAAUACAUACGGCUUAGCAGGCCUAAUUACACCCUUGAUUUCUAAUUGGUUAAACAAUUCUCUUUCUUUCUCUGCUCUCUUACAACUUGAGGCAUAUAACUAAACCCGUGGCUAUUAGCAUUUGCCACCAUGUAUUUAAGAAUCCCAAAUGAAGAUAUUGAUUUUUUUCAGUUUAAUUGCUGCUUCAAAACGGGGUACUAAAUUUGGAUUUUGUUAUCCAAAUACCAAAAAUUUCCCACAUUGUGUUGGACAGUUUUUGGUUCUAAAGUUGAUGACUGGUUUUACGAAUCAGGCUUCAAAUGAGAACUUCUAAACAAUAAGACAAAUGGGUUUUUGAGUUUCCAAUUUUGUAAACUUUGUUCUAUUGUUUAAGUUAUGAAAUCGCUGAAACAUCACUACAGCUACAGGUCUUUAUGUGUCAAAGAACUGCAGAAGCUGAUGAUCUAGCUGUAGUAGACUUCUAUUGCCCCUGUCGUUCUAGGAAGACAAACAAGUUCAGGAACUACUUCUGGACCAAACUCAUAAUAUUGCCACUGCUUUGUGCCAAUCUGAGAGGGAAAGCAUAUUGAAGUUCCUAAAUAAGGCACAUCAUGAUUUGACAGAAGUACCACUAUGAGGAACAAUUGAUUUCAGGAAAGCACUAAAAUAUGACAUAAUCUGCCCCUAAUGGUCUAAAGUAGUCAAGAAAUGAUAUCAACCAAGCAAAAACACAUAAACUAGUUGAGAUACAAAGUUAUUGUAAAAGUCAAUUUUGAUCACAAGUCCAUUAAAAUUAAAAGACAUUAGAAACUUAGAGAACAUUAUAAUUUAGGACUCAGCUAAGUUGCAGAUUCUGUAACUAACAGCUGUGUCCACAUUGGUCUUGCAUCAGCUGAGUUUGGGUUGCUUUUCCUCUCUCCUGCAACGCGUACGUGGAAGCGCCCCAUUUGCUGUGUUCUAUACCGAGUCGGUACCGUAACAAGCUCCUAUAAUUUAAGUUUGAUUACUGUAGACAAUAGUCUGCCUCUGCUCAAAAGCUAUGUUGCAAGAUAUAACAUCUUUGCAAUGUUAUACUUUCUAAAAGUAAUAAGAAAUGAAACCAAGGGGUAAAUCGAACACCAAAAGAAAUUUAGUCGGCCAACCACAUUAUGUUCCCACACAGUCCACUAAUUAAGUUAAUAAUUAAAAGGAAUCAAAAUCUAAGAAAUCUCAUCUUCAAGCAGAAUUAAUACAAACACACAGCGAUUGAAAAUCACAAAAUCAUAAAAAGAAGCUGACUUGAAAAGCUCAAAUAUACGUUCAUCAGCCUCUCAACUUAUAUCUAAGAACAAAUGCAGCUUGUGAAGACAUACAUAAUUGAAGCUGAUGAGCCAUAUUUAACAAAUGAUAAUCAAAACUUGUGUGAUUAAAAUUAUAAUUCAAUAAUCGAGCACAUAAAACAAGAAGUAACUAGUUGUAUAUAUACCAAACAACUUUCUGAAGUUAAGGCAUAAAACAACAACGUAGAACAAAUUAAUUAAAUAUACCAGCACCAAUACUCUUAUUAUUAUCCAAAUAUAGAAGACCAAUGUAUCAAACAAGGAAAAUGAAAUAUUGUUAAUAAAUAAAAAACGACUAGUGUCAAGAACUAAAGUAAUAAGUAAAACCCAUAAUCAGACACGACCACAUCAAAAUCUCUGAAAAUUGAGGUCUAAACAUUGAAAACAAUUAGACAUAUAUAACAGUCAAUCAAAACAAAGCCUCAAAAUAAUAAUGAACUACAAUAAGACAGAAACUAAAUUGUAAACAAGCGCAUACCCAAUAACAGUAAUCAAGUAACAAGUCAAAACCAGAAUCAAACGUAGAAUUUUGAAAUCCAUACGAACUCUAAUGUAUUAGAAUGAAAUAAUAAGGGCGAUCGAUAAACUAGACUCAAACAAAAACAUGCCCAGUUAAAAAACGAAGGUAAAUAAAUAAAAAUGGUAUAAAACUGCGAAAAAAAUUAAUGAAAUGAAGAGAAAAUCACAGGAAUCCUAUGAAGAGGAAGGUAAACAAAACCUUCGGGAGCCGAGAAGAUGCCUUUUUUGUUGACGUUUGUGCCUAUACAUGCAAUUUUUUUUUUUAAUUUUGAAGAAAGUAUUGGUUAAAUAUUGUCAGAACGAAAUAUUAAUAAUAGGGACUUGACUAGCUUACAGAAUCUGUAAGGUACAAACUGCAGCAUCAGCCGUUGGAUGUGGUUGGAUGUGGAGUGAGAAACUAAACAAUAGAAAAUCGGAUGGUGGGAUGACGGGAGAUGUUUGUUACAGAAUCUGUACUGUAGACAAGUCCUAAUAAUAGAUGCUGGCAAUUUCAACAAGGACAAUCUUCGAUUCAAAUGUACCCUUAUGAUAAAGAAAAAGCCAGCUUGGCUAAAUUUUGAGCACCACAUUAUAAGAUCUAGGUGUAUGUUUAACUAUGCAAAAUGAAAUAUCUAUUAAUUAUAAGUCCCUUGACCUCUGGAACCAGCCAACUGGUCUCUUUCCUACUAGACAACCUUCCAUCGAUCAGACUAAUAAUAUUUACUAAAUCAUGUUCUACAGUUAAUGAAGUUGGACCCAAGGCAAUUGUUAGCUUAAUGUCAUAGGCUGCUCAAAUUUCCUGUAAUUGGAGGAUAAUUAUGUGCACAUGAGUUCGCUUAGCAAAAGUCUGCCUAGGCGUGGAGUGCGCUUAAAAGUGGGAUGCACUUAGAAGUGGGAUGCACUUAGCAAAUCAUCCAAGCCCAACCCGAGAUCUAGAACUCUCUGCAUAUUAUAAAUAAGCUAAAAGUUUUUAUGUUUCUCCACGUAAGUCCCUAGGAUAUUUAUGGAAGUUGCUAGGAAGUUUCCUCCCCUAGAACUCUAAUACUUAUAAAUAGGAGUGGGCCGCCUCAUUUACCCACCAACCACACCACACACACAAACACUCCAGCACACAUACAAGCUCUCUAGCUUUUGUAAAAAGCUCUCUUGUAUAUUCUCUCUUUGUGAGUAAUAAAAUCAUAUUCAGCUAUAUUGCUCUACUUCUCUCUAGUAUUUUCCGCAAGUGUUCUUGCUUCGCUAGUUUGAGGAGUGGUCCAGGCUUGCUUAGCAACUUGUUUGCUACAAGGACAUCUUGGUCACAAAACAUGGACAUGCAAGGAAAAAAAAAUAUUGAUUCGUUCUAAAAAUAAUAUGCACUCUUCUCCAGUGAACCAAAAAAUUUAGGCUAAUGGUAGCAAGUGAAGGAAUUGUGAUUUCACAUGCAUUUUGUUGACAUGAAGGUAAAGAACUUUUUUAUAGUUUAUAUUGUUUAAUAUAAUAUUUGAAUUGCAAAAUAGGGGUACAAAAUAGAUACACGAAGGGAUAAAACUAAUCUGAUUAUGAUAAAUAAUGAAUUAUAAGAUUUAGGUUUAAUCAUAAAGACAUAAGUGGCACACAAAGUCACGAAUUGAUAUCAUCCACGAUGCAAGUUCAAACAACUGUAUAAUAAGUUGCCCCAAGCUAAACUAUUAAUCUAAUAACUAUUCCAGUCGAUGUGGGAUAAUUUUCCUAUCACCAUCUAUCACGUGCAAGCCGAAUUUGUUGCUUGGUUCUUACAUGUGGUAAGGUAAUAUGAAUCCACUUGUGCAUAAAUUUGGCUCCGAUAUUAUAUAGAAGCUUAUGACCCAAAAUUAUACUUAAAGGUUAUUUCAAGAUUUGAAGGUUGCCUCAAGCUAAUAUUAUUAUUAGCCUGGUAACCCUUUUUUUUUUGUUGAUAUGUGAUAUUUUCCCAAUAACUUUUAUUAAUCUUUAUGCUUAUGUUUUGUCAUUUAUCCCAAAAUAUAACAUUAACAAAAGUUCCAAAAUUUCCUUCAAGAGAUAUAUUUGAGACAAGUAAUUUGUGCAAUAACUUUGUGAAUUGAUGAGCAAAUUCAAAGAAAAGAAUAUAUGUGCCAAACGUAACGUUUAUUAUUGUGUUUAUUUGUAGAGCUAUUUAAAGCCUAAAAACAAAAAGCAUCAGUCUGCUAUUAUUUCAAAUAAGUUCAAGCCCUAUGUCAUUAUUGGUACAAAAAUGUAUUAGAAUGGUUAAAAACUAUUUUUAUUUAACUUGUAAACUUAGGAAAUUAUCAACUGUCCACCCUUAAAUUGCACUGUUAUAAAAAAUAUUACAAUAUUUUCAGAUUGUAUCAUUCAUCUACCAUAAAUUUACAAUCUGCAUCAUUUAUCCACCAAAUCAUUAACUUCGUUAAAAAGUGAUAGACGUCACAAGGGUAAUUUAGACAUUUAACACACAAAAAAAAUAAAAGAGAAAUUAUCUAAGCUUACCAUGUUAUCAAAAUUGCUACAAAAUUUUAAAUUUGUUCAAUUUUCCAAUCUAAGUUUAUGACCUCCAAGAUGUUACUUGCAGUUUGUAAUUAAUGAGUUCAUAAGGAUAAUUUAGACACUCAAUACGCAAAAUAAAAAAUAAAAUAAUGGCUUAAAACAUUAAAACAAAAAACUACAUUUUAUAAUUGAUAUUCAAUAAUACACAUAAAUUCUAUUUUUUUCUUAAUUAAAAAUAUUCUAAUUUAUUUUCUCAAUUUAUCAUCAUAAAUUUACAUUAAUAAACUAAAUCCACAAAUUACCCUAAACCCUAAUUCAUAAAUGCCCAAUCAAUCUAAUAGUUUAAUUCGAUUUCAUAAUUAAAAAAGCUAAAUUUAUUAUAUUAGUUAUGGUGUAAAGUCAAAAAUGCCCUUAAAUUCAAGGGUAAAAUAACAUUUUAUUUAAAUUCUAUAAAUUAUUCUAACAAUGUUAACAUAUUGGUGGACGGUUAAUAUAAGUUACAAACUUAAAAUAGAAAAUCAAAUAAAUUCAAAAUUUCAAACUAUUUUGGGCAAAUUUAGGACAUAUGGUUAAUAAUUUUCUCAUGUCUUUUUACAUUGGUUGGUAUAAGUUACAAACUUAAAAUAGAAAAUCAAAUAAAUUUAUAUUUUCAAACUAUUUAGGGCAAACUUAGGGUAUAUGGUUAAUAAUUUUUCUUUGUCUUUUUACGUUAAAUUGAGUUUCAAAGGUAAAAUGGUCAAUUUAUUAUAAUUAUGUUAAUGUUUUAGUGGAAGCAAACGAUAUAAUGGACGAAUGAUAUAAAUUGUAAAAUUAAGGUGCAUGAAUGAUACAACUUUAAAGUAUUGUAGUAAUUUUAAAAAUAGAACAAUUUAAGGGUGGAUUGGCAAUAAUUUAAACUUUAAUGAAGCAACUAAAAAACAUUUUUAACAAAAGAAAAAUAAUUGAAAUGCUUUAAGAAAAAUAAAAGAAAUUAAAUAUCUUUAUAAAAACAUAAUUGAGUAAAAUCAUUUUACAAAAUGCUCUUUCAAAUGCACAUUCCACAAGGCAGGGAGAACGGGUGGGUAACAAAAAUCUCACUUUUUAUGAGUUUAUAAAAUCUUACUUUCGCAGAAUCAAAAAAUAACCAAUACUAAUCACACAAAAAAUAAAAAUUAUUGUUGUCACGACAUUACGCACUUUCUUCGCUGUCUAGAAAUUAGAAAGCUAGAACAUUUUGAAGUUCCUCAAUACAAAAUGUGUGCUACUACUAAAUUGGCCCAAUUAAUGCCCAUCGAAAAGGCCAUCAAUUUAGCCGGCAAUUUUGUCAAAAUUUCAACAAUUGAAGAAAUAAUGAUCACAAACGGAACAGGUAAAUUUUGAAGUUGAAUAAAUCUUGAGAUACAUACAACAAAGCCUUGAAACUUUAUUCUUCACAAUUUGAGCACGCACUAAAUAUUAAACAAGUAUAGAACAAAGCUUAUUUUUAGCUUCUUGUGCGAACUGAAUACGCUGAAAUGUGUUUUUUUUUUUUUGGAUUUUUGGAAUUUUUUAAAAUCAUUUAUGUUCGCCGCCAUCUUUUUCUUCGCUGGCGUCUUCCUCUCUUGGCUGGCAUCUGCCUCGUCUGUAGUUUGCUGUGCCUAUAUAUCCAACCAAUAAAUUGGGCAUUAAAUACGAAUGAAUGAUGAAUAAAAUGAUAAAAAAAAAACAAACAGAGAAAAUUAUAAUAUAACACGUAUAUAUUGAAAGAGAAAUUUUGAUUUUAGGAUAGAUCAAUUAGCUAUCACAAACGAAAACAUGAACCAACUAUGUAUAGAGUCAAUUAAGUAAAGUUCUCAAGAGUUGACCUGUGCUCCUGAAUUCUUGGAAUCAUCUAUCUCCUUCUGAAUUUCCACGAAACUUGGGACAAUUAUUAACAUCUUCAUUGUAUGCAGAUGGAAAUGGGAUCUGAUAACCCGCAGGCCAAAAGUUGGCGAGCUUUGGUAAACCAAACAAUGUCAAGUUCCGAAGUUCAUUCAUAACAAUUUCAUUGUAAUCCGUGAUGUUUGCUCCAUCUUUAUGCCAGAAUACUUCUUCUAAUUCAUCAUUAGCUUCUAUCCAUAGGCCCUUCAGUUUUUGAAGACUUGGAGCUACGCUGAUAUGAAAUAGAUGCUUUAGCUUGGGGCAAUAAUGGACAGAGAUCCAUGUGAGUUUUGGGAAACAUACAGGUUGGAGAUGAUCCUCAUCCUCAUCCUCAUCGAUGAUUUGCUCUAAUUCCGAGCAAUAUAAAAUACGUAACUCCUCCAAUUGCAACAGAUUUCGAGCAAGUGUUGAUGAGAAGAGACGUCUCAGUGUAGUGCACCCGUCCACUCUUAAAUCGGUAAGACUUUGGAGGCUAAAAUUAUGAGUGGGACCUUCAUGAUAUAAUAAUACUUGCAGUUCUGGAAGGUUUUCCAACCACAACGACUUCAAACAUGGGAAUAGUUUGUUUUCUUGUUCCUCAGCGAUAAUAGCUUCCACUUGAAAUACCACAUAUACUCCAAGUUCUCCAAUACCCAAUGUUUCCAAAUUUUUAAAGCCAUGCUUCAACAGUGCUGGAAUCGUGUCACUCAAAUGGGAACAAUUGUCCACAUAUAGAUUUCGUAAUUUCUGAGACAAAUAAAUAAAUAACUUGAUGCAAUUAAAAUCUAUUAGCAGCUAGGAUUAUCACAUGAUAAGUGAUGAACACCGCAAAAAUAUCAUAAUACAUAUGUAAACUAAUAAAAUAAUUAAAAAGUAAUGGAUUAAAAAAAAUGAAAUUAGUUAAAAGAGAUCAUGUGAAGUGAUAUAAAUGUGACAUUAGAUUGUUUUAGAAAAAUUAUGGCUUGAUCAACUAUUUAAUUGAAUUUGAAUAAUAUUAUAUACACUUCAGAAGUAUUUGCAUCAAUUCUUUCUAAACUAAAAUGAGAUAUGAAUUUCAUUUGAAGAAUGGUUUUAGGCCCUAUAAUAAAGAAAUUUCCCUAAGAUAUCUGAGUAUUAUUAUUAUCAUUACCACAUCCACCACCACCAUCAUCAUCUCCAUAGGAUCAAAUAAUUAAUGGCUGAUCAUAAAAUUUAUUACUAAACUAUCAUUUUGAGUAAAAUUGAAUGAAAAGAAAAAACAUGAAUCCAAACAAACAUACCUCUUUGAGAUACUGCAAAUUGGCUUCAAGUUCAUUACUGUUGAUGGUCAAGUUGGGACAGUUAUGAAGGUUUAACUUUUCCAAUGCUGGCCAAAUUGAACAAUAAUUCUCUGAACAGAACUUGGUGAGUUCUGGGAGAUCUUCAAGUUUUAAUUUUCUCAACAAAGGGAGGGCGAGCAUCGUAUUUCCAUCUCCGACACUUAUUUCCCCUUCAUUAUGAUCAAACUUUGCUUCGACAAUAUAUUCCAGUCUCUCGCAUCCACUUACAUUGAGACUUUUAAGCUGCUCCAAACUUCUAGCUUGUGACAACGUGAAGAUAUAUGUCAACUUGUUGCACCUAUGCACAUUCAAUUUUGUAAGAGUUUGGAGACUAAUCACAUGUUGGGCGGGCGCCUUCCAUAUCCACUUCAGUUCUGGUAAGUCCCACAUAGAUAACUCUGCUAAUCUUGAGAGACUCUUUCCAUGCGGCGACUUAGAGGCUUCCAUUAUGCAUUCUAAAUCUUCGCAAUCGCAGACAUCAAGACAAGUCAACUCAUUUAAGCCCCUUUCAUCU